rnacentral:rRNA from 1 species
AUGAACGAGUAUGAUAGAAGAGGUUCUAAAAACAAAAGUGUAUACGCCAGCCGAGUCCGACUCCGACCCGAGGUGGCUCCUGGGUUGUUCGCCUGGACAUAUAUACGCCAGCCCCCGCCGCCUCAACCUCCUCCUGUUUUCCUUCAGACCCAACGAGAGAGAGACAGAGAAAUCCCCAAUACACCAAGAGCCGCCUCGGGUCGUUCACCGUCAGGGCCAGCCAGGGCGGAGCCGGAGGCUGCGAUCUUCAAGGCCAAGUCCAUGGCGGACAACGAGGAGGUGUCGUCCCUCAAGGCCAAGACCAAGGCCAAGGCCAAGUCCAAGGCGGACAAGGAGGAGGUGAUCCGCAAGGCGAAGGCGAAGGCGGAGGCGGAGGCGGAGAUCCGCAAGGCCAAGGCGGAGGCGGCCAAGGAGGCGGGGGUCAUCAAGGCCUGCUGCUGCGGCUCGGACGACGACGAUGUGCCGUACGACAAGGUGUACCACGACUCGGACGCGGAGGAAGACAAUGACACAAUCAUGGCCAGGAUUGUGGCGCGGUGGGAUAUCUUUAUGGAGGAGGAGAAGGCUCGCUUCCCUGACCAGACGUACCGGGUCUACCUCCCCGGGGAACGCACCGGCGACGAGUCGUCCGACUCGGAUGACGAGCACGAGUACUACCUCCGCAAGUUUGGGAUGAAGUAG